CUUGGUCAUUUAGAGGAAGUAAAAGUCGUAACAAGGUUUCCGUAGGUGAACCUGCGGAAGGAUCAUUACCUAGAGUUGUAGGCUUUGCCUGCUAUCUCUUACCCAUGUCUUUUGAGUACCUUCGUUUCCUCGGUGGGUUCGCCCGCCGACUGGACAAUUUAAACCAUUUGCAGUUGCAAUCAGCGUCUGAAAAACACAAUAGUUACAACUUUCAACAACGGAUCUCUUGGUUCUGGCAUCGAUGAAGAACGCAGCGAAAUGCGAUAAGUAGUGUGAAUUGCAGAAUUCAGUGAAUCAUCGAAUCUUUGAACGCACAUUGCGCCCCUUGGUAUUCCAUGGGGCAUGCCUGUUCGAGCGUCAUUUGUACCUUCAAGCUCUGCUUGGUGUUGGGUGUUUGUCUCGCCUCUGCGUGUAGACUCGCCUUAAAACAAUUGGCAGCCGGCGUAUUGAUUUCGGAGCGCAGUACAUCUCGCGCUCUGCACUCAGAACGACGACGUCCAAAAGUACAUUUUUAACGCUUGACCUCGGAUCAGGUAAGGAUACCCGCUGAACUUAAGCAUAUCAAUAAGCGGAGGA
rnacentral:rRNA from 1 species